rnacentral:rRNA from 1 species
GGGUUGUGAGGUUAAGCGACUAAGCGUACACGGUGGAUGCCCUGGCAGUCAGAGGCGAUGAAGGACGUGCUAAUCUGCGAAAAGCGUCGGUAAGGUGAUAUGAACCGUUAUAACCGGCGAUGUCCGAAUGGGGAAACCCAGUGUGAUUCGUCACACUAUCGUUAACUGAAUACAUAGGUUAACGAGGCGAACCGGGGAACUGAAACAUCUAAGUACCCCGAGGAAAAGAAAUCAACCGAGAUUCCCCCAGUAGCGGCGAGCGAACGGGGGAGCAGCCCAGAGUCUGAAUCAGCUUGUGUGUUAGUGGAACGGUCUGGAAAGUCCGACGGUACAGGGUGAUAGUCCCGUACACCAAAAUGCACAGGCUGUGAACUCGAAGAGUAGGGCGGGACACGUGGUAUCCUGUCUGAAUAUGGGGGACCAUCCUCCAAGGCUAAAUACUCCUGACUGACCGAUAGUGAACCAGUACCGUGAGGGAAAGGCGAAAAGAACCCCGGCGAGGGGAGUGAAAAAGAACCUGAAACCGUGUACGUACAAGCAGUGGGAGCACCUUCGGGUGUGACUGCGUACCUUUUGUAUAAUGGGUCAGCGACUUAUAUUCUGUAGCAAGGUUAACCGUAUAGGGGAGCCGCAGGGAAACCGAGUCUUAACUGGGCGUUAAGUUGCAGGGUAUAGACCCGAAACCCGGUGAUCUAGCCAUGGGCAGGUUGAAGGUUGGGUAACACUAACUGGAGGACCGAACCGACUAAUGUUGAAAAAUUAGCGGAUGACUUGUGGCUGGGGGUGAAAGGCCAAUCAAACCGGGAGAUAGCUGGUUCUCCCCGAAAGCUAUUUAGGUAGCGCCUCGUGAACUCAUCUUCGGGGGUAGAGCACUGUUUCGGCUAGGGGGUCAUCCCGACUUACCAACCCGAUGCAAACUACGAAUACCGAAGAAUGUUAUCACGGGAGACACACGGCGGGUGCUAACGUCCGUCGUGAAGAGGGAAACAACCCAGACCGCCAGCUAAGGUCCCAAAGUCAUGGUUAAGUGGGAAACGAUGUGGGAAGGCACAGACAGCCAGGAUGUUGGCUUAGAAGCAGCCAUCAUUUAAAGAAAGCGUAAUAGCUCACUGGUCGAGUCGGCCUGCGCGGAAGAUGUAACGGGGCUAAACCAUGCACCGAAGCUGCGGCAGCGACACUAUGUGUUGUUGGGUAGGGGAGCGUUCUGUAAGCCUGCGAAGGUGACCUGUGAGGGUUGCUGGAGGUAUCAGAAGUGCGAAUGCUGACAUAAGUAACGAUAAAGCGGGUGAAAAGCCCGCUCGCCGGAAGACCAAGGGUUCCUGUCCAACGUUAAUCGGGGCAGGGUGAGUCGACCCCUAAGGCGAGGCCGAAAGGCGUAGUCGAUGGGAAACAGGUUAAUAUUCCUGUACUUGGUGUUACUGCGAAGGGGGGACGGAGAAGGCUAUGUUAGCCGGGCGACGGUUGUCCCGGUUUAAGCAUGUAGGCUGGUUGUCCAGGCAAAUCCGGAUAAUCAAGGCUGAGGUGUGAUGACGAGGCACUACGGUGCUGAAGUAACAAAUGCCCUGCUUCCAGGAAAAGCCUCUAAGCAUCAGGUAACAUCAAAUCGUACCCCAAACCGACACAGGUGGUCAGGUAGAGAAUACCAAGGCGCUUGAGAGAACUCGGGUGAAGGAACUAGGCAAAAUGGUGCCGUAACUUCGGGAGAAGGCACGCUGGUGUGUAGGUGAAGCCCCUGCGGGUGGAGCUGAGACCAGUCGAAGAUACCAGCUGGCUGCAACUGUUUAUUAAAAACACAGCACUGUGCAAACACGAAAGUGGACGUAUACGGUGUGACGCCUGCCCGGUGCCGGAAGGUUAAUUGAUGGGGUUAUCCGUAAGGAGAAGCUCUUGAUCGAAGCCCCGGUAAACGGCGGCCGUAACUAUAACGGUCCUAAGGUAGCGAAAUUCCUUGUCGGGUAAGUUCCGACCUGCACGAAUGGCGUAAUGAUGGCCAGGCUGUCUCCACCCGAGACUCAGUGAAAUUGAACUCGCUGUGAAGAUGCAGUGUACCCGCGGCAAGACGGAAAGACCCCGUGAACCUUUACUAUAGCUUGACACUGAACAUUGAGCCUUGAUGUGUAGGAUAGGUGGGAGGCUUUGAAGCGUGGACGCCAGUCUGCGUGGAGCCAACCUUGAAAUACCACCCUUUAAUGUUUGAUGUUCUAACGUUGGCCCCUGACCGGGGUUGCGGACAGUGUCUGGUGGGUAGUUUGACUGGGGCGGUCUCCUCCCAAAGCGUAACGGAGGAGCACGAAGGUUAGCUAAUCCUGGUCGGACAUCAGGAGGUUAGUGCAAUGGCAUAAGCUAGCUUGACUGCGAGCGUGACGGCGCGAGCAGGUGCGAAAGCAGGUCAUAGUGAUCCGGUGGUUCUGAAUGGAAGGGCCAUCGCUCAACGGAUAAAAGGUACUCCGGGGAUAACAGGCUGAUACCGCCCAAGAGUUCAUAUCGACGGCGGUGUUUGGCACCUCGAUGUCGGCUCAUCACAUCCUGGGGCUGAAGUAGGUCCCAAGGGUAUGGCUGUUCGCCAUUUAAAGUGGUACGCGAGCUGGGUUUAGAACGUCGUGAGACAGUUCGGUCCCUAUCUGCCGUGGGCGCUGGAGAAUUGAGGGGGGCUGCUCCUAGUACGAGAGGACCGGAGUGGACGCAUCACUGGUGUUCGGGUUGUCAUGCCAAUGGCACUGCCCGGUAGCUAAAUGCGGAAGAGAUAAGUGCUGAAAGCAUCUAAGCACGAAACUUGCCCCGAGAUGAGUUCUCCCUGAGACUUUAAGUCUCCUGAAGGAACGUUGAAGACGAUGACGUUGAUAGGCCGGGUGUGUAAGCGCAGCGAUGCGUUGAGCUAACCGGUACUAAUGAACCGUGAGGCUUAACCUUACAACGCCGAAG